AUGGAUGGAGGCCCGUGGCUGUUCCACAAUGCGGCGGUUAUUUUACAAGAGUAUGAUGGCUUUAGCAAUGUGAAUGAUUAUAGGCUUGAUAGGAUUCCAGUGUGGGCUAGAAUUGAAGGAGUCCCUGAUGGACUGAUGAGAAAAAACGAACUAGCUGAGAAAGUGGCUAGGAAGGUUGGCGGUCCUCCAUUUACACUAAUAGUGAAUGAAGGCUUUAUUAACACCUCGAAGUAUCUGAGGGUGAGGGUGUUUCUAGAUGUGCAGGUUCCUCUUGUCAAAUCUGUGCCGAUAACUUUAAAAGAGAGGAAGAAAUACCAUGUUUAUUAUGAGAAGCUCCCAGAUUAUUGCUAUUUCUGUGGGCUAAUGGGACACCUUGUGGAGGAGUGUGGUGAUGGAGCUCAUGAUCCGGUCAUAAUUCUGCAAGGGGAGGAGGGAGAGGAAGUGGAGAGAGAGGGGGGUCGUGAUGCUAGAGGAAGUGAAGAGAGAGGGGUCGUGAUGCUAGAGGAAGUGAAGAUAGAGGGGGUCGUGAUGCUAGAGGAAGAGGGGGUUGGGGCCGUGGAGGGGGUGGACGUGAGCCAAGGGCUGACCCCCUGCUAUGGUGGACGAACUGGACAGAAACAAAGCAAUGAAGUGGCUGGUUAA
rnacentral:rRNA from 1 species